AGCGUCCUAGGGUAAAACUGGUGACUGGGGCUAAGUCGUAACAAGGUAGCCGUACCGGAAGGUGCGGCUGGAACACCUCCUUU
rnacentral:rRNA from 1 species